CGUACACUCCUACGGGAGGCAGCAGUGGGGAAUAUUGGACAAUGGGCGCAAGCCUGAUCCAGCCAUGCCGCGUGAGUGAUGAAGGCCCUAGGGGUGUAAAGCUCUUUCACCGGUGAAGAUAAUGACGGUAACCGGAGAAGAAGCCCCGGCUAACUUCGUGCCAGCAGCCGCGGUAAUACGAAGGGGGCUAGCGUUGUUCGGAUUUACUGGGCGUAAAGCGCACGUAGGCGGACUAUUAAGUCAGGGGUGAAAUCCCGGGGCUCAACCCCGGAACUGCCUUUGAUACUGGUAGUCUUGAGUUCGAGAGAGGUGAGUGGAAUUCCGAGUGUAGAGGUGAAAUUCGUGGAUAUUCGGAGGAACACCAGUGGCGAAGGCGGCUCACUGGCUCGAUACUGACGCUGAGGUGCGAAAGCGUGGGGAGCAAACAGGAUUAGAUCCCGAGUAGUCCC
rnacentral:rRNA from 1 species